rnacentral:lncRNA from 1 species
GCAGGAGGACUUCUCAGGAAGAAUAAAAGAGAUGACCAACUCUACAAGGAUUUUUAAAGAUUCUGGAGGACCUCAGACAUUCAUUAAAACUGCUAUGGUCCUAUCUCUGCCGGAGUCCCUCACUGCGUAGGGAAUAAUAUGGACUGCCAUGGGGCUCCAGAAUCACGUCCCAAGCAAGAUCCUCUUGCAAGGUUAAAGCAGUGUCAUAGAAAUGACGAAGACCUUGCAACCUAUGAUGACAUGAAAAUAAAAUGCAGAAAAAUCCUGCUGGAACCUGGGAUCAGGACGUCCUCAGGGGAAGGAAGGAGGAGUAAAGAAAGGUUUCUAGAAUGUGUGGUUCAGCAGCAGUGGCAAGGUAAGGUCCAGAUGGAGUUUGGGCUGCUGGCCAUCCACUGCCCGCCCCAGCUCUCACUCCCACAGGGAUCAGAGUGCACUUGGCUCCCUGGGGUUCUGAGGACAAUAUCUAGUUCGAGGAUCGCAGUGUUUGUCUCAUAGAGGCAUUACAAGCACUGUCCUUUAUAGACAUUCUGCAAGAGAGUAGAUGGGCAUAGACUCUGGAUGGUUAAAUCUACAAAUAAAAAUCUCUAACUUAUGUCACGAUGUUGUACUAUUUAUAAGAUUUAUCUUUGGCUUAAAAACCGAUCCACCAA